GACGAACGCUGGCGGCGUGCUUAACACAUGCAAGUCGAACGGAAAGGCCCUGCUUGCAGGGUACUCGAGUGGCGAACGGGUGAGUAACACGUGGGUGAUCUGCCCUGCACUUCGGGAUAAGCCUGGGAAACUGGGUCUAAUACCGGAUAGGAGCCAUUUUUAGUGUGAUGGUUGGAAAGUUUUUUCGGUGUAGGAUGAGCUCGCGGCCUAUCAGCUUGUUGGUGGGGUAAUGGCCUACCAAGGCGGCGACGGGUAGCCGGCCUGAGGGGGUGGACGGCCACAUUGGGACUGAGAUACGGCCCAGACUCCUACGGGAGGCAGCAGUGGGGAAUAUUGCACAAUGGGCGCAAGCCUGAUGCAGCGACGCCGCGUGGGGGAUGACGGCCUUCGGGUUGUAAACUCCUUUCGCUAGGGACGAAGCUUUUUGUGACGGUACCUAGAGAAGAAGCACCGGCUAACUACGUG
rnacentral:rRNA from 1 species